GUGCAUAGAUAAUGGAUGUCCUGGACGUCCAUUUGAGUGCACUUGAGUGCACUUGGGUCCAUAUGAGUCUAAGAGUCCACCUGAGUCCAUUUGCGAGUCUAUGAGAAUUCUGGAGCCAGUGAAGGCCGUGAUGUCAAGGUCAGAUAUGUCCAAAGUCCACCUCUGUCGAGUUUUGAACAGGUGGCCUUUGGGGUGAAACGCACCAAUAACUCGACUGCAUCCGACCCGAUCAUCAACAGAAGGCGAAUCAGUCGCCUAGCUCCUUCUGGAACUAUCUGUAUAGAGGUCUGCAGCCUCUAGACCUAUUGCAGCAAUGGUAUGCUAUGUUAUGAUACUUAACACUGAUCCAGCAGACUAGAGACACACAGUUGAAUUGGUUAAUCACCGUAGGGCGAGGUCAUAUGUUUCCAUUCGACAGACAACAGGUUUUUGGAACGGCGUUUGAAACGGUUUUUGGAACUCGCAUUGGUUUGACACUAGUGGAGUCUAGAAGGGAUUUGAAAAGGUGUUUAAAAAGAUGUCGGGGCGUUUGAACAGAUGUUUAAGCGUUGAGCAUUUGAACACUUGAGAGCGGUUGAUACUUGAGAAAAGGGGAGUUCAAUUUUAUUACUUGAGAGAAGGUCCUUCACCAAGCCUGUUGACGCCGAAAAUUCACCGAAAAAAGCCCCCAUUUAUACCCCAUUUAUGCCCUUUUAUACCCCUGUUAUACCCUCUCCUAUACCCUCGUUUAUACCCCAUAUCCCCGUUUAGACCUCUUACCCUCUUAUCCAUAUAUCUUUAUCUAGGGUGUGGCAGAUCAAGAUAGACGGGGCCAGAAGUAUACUUGUAUGAUAGGUGGAGGGGGGUACUUCAAGGAAGUCAUACGUCUGUCUAUGGUGAUGUAGAUCUUCAGUGAUUUCCUUGAGAACUGUUGGGGGGUCUGGGGAAGGAGGGAGGGAGGGCUGGUGCGGGCAGUAGCACUUGAAUUGUCAAUUGAACCGGAAAUACUUGCACGUUUUUUUCGGAAGAGUUGUGAAUUAUUAUAUUUGCCCGACGCUGAUCAGCGCAUUCAAGUGUUUAUUGCGAUCAGCACCGGGUGGUAACUGUGAGUGGUGACUCUAGCGAUCAUCCUACUCCUUAGGGAGUUCACACGGUUGGAGGAGUAGAAUAGGACAAAAUCAAGCAAGACAAGCAAAGGUUUUGAAUCCUUUUGUGCAUUCUGCAGACGAAUAAUUGUCAAUUGUCCAUUUUCAGACCCAAGUUAUCUUUCUGGAGUUGAUAUUCAGUCUCUCUCCGAGUGGUACAGGGCAUCAGGUUGGGUCGUCAAAACAGCGGAAAUUGAGAGUAAUGAAGAUAUUAGUUCCAUCGUGAGAUCUAUGGAGGCUUGAUAUAUCAAUAUUUAUGAUUCAAUCAGUUCUCAAACUUGCCAAAUGACCACAUUAGGGAACACUAGAUCACCAUGACUUUCGCCCGAGUAAAACUGUACUGUCCUCCAAACAUCUCCAGGAGGCAAGAAAAAAGACCGGUGAGAAGCCAUGGAGUUCAUAAAAGCCCCUAUAAUGGAUAAAAGUAUCGGAAAAUUGUGUUUGCUUUACUCAAUCUGGCUCUGUUGCUCUGAUAUUGGUCAAAAGAAUGGGUAUAGAAAUGCGAGUACCAACUAGGGACGUUUACAAAGAACAGGUUUCGAAAAAGCGAGUUCGGUCAUAAUCAAAACAAGUUGGACUUUAGACAGGAAGAUGACGAGGUUUUUGAAUUAUCAUUACCACAAUAGGGGCCUUGAAUGAUCCUUUUCCUACUAAUAUCAAUCCCCAGACCUCCAAAGGCCCACAGGAGGAGAUAUUGGUGAGAAA
rnacentral:misc_RNA from 1 species